CAGUCGCCGCGGUAAUACGAAGGGUGCAAGCGUUACUCGGAAUUACUGGGCGUAAAGCGUGCGUAGGCGGCUUCUUAAGUCGGAUGUGAAAUCCCUGAGCUUAACUUAGGAAUUGCAUUCGAUACUGGGAAGCUAGAGUAUGGGAGAGGAUGGUAGAAUUCCAGGUGUAGCGGUGAAAUGCGUAGAGAUCUGGAGGAAUACCGAUGGCGAAGGCAGCCAUCUGGCCUAAUACUGACGAUGAGGUACGAAAGCAUGGGGAGCAAACAGGAUUAGAUACCAUGUAGUCCCUGUCUCUUAUACA
rnacentral:rRNA from 1 species